ACGCUGGCGGCAGGCUUAACACAUGCAAGUCGAACGGUAACAGGAAUUAGCUUGCUAAUUUGCUGACGAGUGGCGGACGGGUGAGUAAUGCUUGGGAAUCUGGCUUAUGGAGGGGGAUAACUACGGGAAACUGUAGCUAAUACCGCGUAAAAUCUUCGGAUUAAAGGGUGGGACUUUCGAGCCACCUGCCAUAAGAUGAGCCCAAGUGGGAUUAGGUAGUUGGUUAGGUAAAGGCUGACCAAGCCGACGAUCUCUAGCUGGUCUGAGAGGAUGACCAGCCACACUGGAACUGAGACACGGUCCAGACUCCUACGGGAGGCAGCAGUGGGGAAUAUUGCACAAUGGGGGGAACCCUGAUGCAGCCAUGCCGCGUGAAUGAAGAAGGCCUUCGGGUUGUAAAGUUCUUUCGGUGACGAGGAAGGUUGAUAGGUUAAUAGCCUAUCAAAUUGACGUUAAUCACAGAAGAAGCACCGGCUAACUCCGUGCCAGCAGCCGCGGUAAUACGGGGGGUGCGAGCGUUAAUCGGAAUAACUGGGCGUAAAGGGCACGCAGGCGGUGACUUAAGUGAGAUGUGAAAGCCCCGAGCUUAACUUGGGAAUUGCAUUUCAUACUGGGUCGCUAGAGUACUUUAGGGAGGGGUAGGAUUCCACGUGUAGCGGUGAAAUGCGUAGAGAUGUGGAGGAAUACCGAAGGCGAAGGCAGCCCCUUGGGAACGUACUGACGCUCAUGUGCGAAAGCGUGGGGAGCAAACAGGAUUAGAUACCCUGGUAGUCCACGCUGUAAACGAUGUCGAUUUGGGGAUUGGGCUUUGAGCUUGGUGCCCGUAGCUAACGUGAUAAAUCGACCGCCUGGGGAGUACGGCCGCAAGGUUAAAACUCAAAUGAAUUGACGGGGGCCCGCACAAGCGGUGGAGCAUGU
rnacentral:rRNA from 1 species